GAGCAUCUCUCCAAACACAAGAGUCUCUUGAAGUUUCAUCAAACAAGAAAUUUCAUAAAUCUCCUUUUCAUGCGCAGCCUUUGCUGAGCGAACGCCGCAACCCUCUUACUCAUGACAAAUACACUCAAAGGGCACUAAUUGCCGCUCCAAUUGUGGGGGGAACAAAACAGGUCAAUUUAGAAUGCUCAUCUGCACACAAACCCAGUGUGGGAAGAGUAUUGUCAUUAAGAUGUAUAAAUUGGAGCUGGGAAUUUGGCAGCGACGCAUUGUGCUGGAUGCUAAGACAGGAGUGGGACAGAGCUGCAAAGGGAACACUCUGAUUCAUAAGGAUGAAAGACUCGCAUUUGGUAUUUGUCACUAUGAUAUCUUUAGUUAUUGCAUGCGUGACGGCUCAGUCUUCCAGGGAAGGUGAAUGGAAGUCACUGGAAAACCCAUACAACAGAGACCUGUUCUUCAAGUUCUUGAAAUCCUAUAUUAUUGGGAGGGGAAGUCACAUGAUGAACCCAGGGGCAAAGGAUAAAGCUGUGAAUGACUUGCAGAGCAAUGCAGACUCAAAAUAUGGCAACCUACAGAGAAUUCUGGACAACAAUGAAAUAGCCGAUACCUAAACCCUGAGAUCUGCCAAUCCUUCAUGUUUUAACAACUGUAAAUGUAAGGGAGCAGCAUCAGCACCAAAAAUGCAUACUUCUGAAAGACAAUUUUUGCUGUUUUGUUCAGUCUUGGGUAGAAACAGAUAUUCAAUGCUAUACAAGUACUUUUGAUUGGACCUACUAAUAAAAACUGUACAUAUA